AUGCGUUAUCCGGCCACUGAGGCUGCCGGUGCGGAUGUCGGAGCACAUCUCCUCCCAGUUUUGCUCCAGGAACUUGAUGGCUCGGACGAAGCUGUUGGCGAAGGAGGUGCCGACGUGGUUCACGGAGUCGCGGUUGAGCAGGCCGCAGAGCAGCUGGCAGUACAUGCUCUGCUCGGCGUCCGGGCAGAGGAUGGCCUCCAUGGGGCUGGUGCACCGGUCGAACCCGCCCACCUCGUGGUCCUGGAACUGGCUGCUGCAGUAAUAGGCGGUGGUGGCCGCCUGGACCUGAAGGCCGGACGGCGUGUGUUCGACGGGGAAGGUGAGGGUGAGGCGCAUCCCCAUGCCGCGCUUGCUCUCCUGGUCAGCAUGUAA
rnacentral:rRNA from 1 species